rnacentral:tRNA from 1 species
GGGUCCGUAGCUGAGUGGUUUUAGCGUCGGUUUGUUAGCCCGGGGACGUGGGUUCGAUUCCCACCGGGCCCU